AAUUGGGAUGAGCUUAAUUGUAUGUGAUAAAAAGGUUCAAGUUUGGGGUUGUUGGGGGAAAGUUGAAAAAGCAAGUGAAAAGCAUUGAGCUCAAAUGUUGUGAAAAGAAAAAUUCAUGAGAAAAAGAAAAGAAAAGAAGAAAAGCAUGAAGACGAGCUCAAUGCAAAAGAAAAAGAAAAGGGAAAAAAUGGGAAUGAGAGAGAUUGGUAAGGAAGAGAGUGUGCUUAAUUGUUGAAUAUUUUAAUAGCUCUCUUGACUCAAGGAUUUUGCAUUCUAGAAAAACCAAUUCUUUCUUGUUAGCCCAACCUCAUUACAAGCCUUGGAAAAGUCCUUUUGAUGGCAUUCAGUGUACUUGGCUAUAUAAUUGGUUUUUGAAAUCUUCAGAAGAAACGUUUUGAACUAAGAAAGCUUAUUAGAACACUGUGUGUCAGAGGAACGUUCUAAGAAGCUUUGUUCAUUGUUCCCUUGCUUGGUCUUG
rnacentral:lncRNA from 1 species